GGGGAAUAUUGCACAAUGGGGGAGACCCUGAUGCAGCGACGCCGCGUGGAGGAAGAAGGUCUUCGGAUUGUAAACUCCUGUUGUUGGGGAAGAUAAUGACGGUACCCAACAAGGAAGUGACGGCUAACUACGUGCCAGCAGCCGCGGUAAAACGUAGGUCACAAGCGUUGUCCGGAAUUACUGGGUGUAAAGGGAGCGCAGGCGGGAAGACAAGUUGGAAGUGAAAUCUAUGGGCUCAACCCAUAAACUGCUUUCAAAACUGUUUUUCUUGAGUAGUGCAGAGGUAGGCGGAAUUCCCGGUGUAGCGGUGGAAUGCGUAGAUAUCGGGAGGAACACCAGUGGCGAAGGCGGCCUACUGGGCACCAACUGACGCUGAGGCUCGAAAGUGUGGGUAGCAAACAGGAUUAGAUACCCUGGUAGUCCACACCGUAAACGAUGAUUACUAGGUGUUGGAGGAUUGACCCCUUCAGUGCCGCAGUUAACACAAUAAGUAAUCCACCUGGGGAGUACGACCGCAAGGUUGAAACUCAAAGGAAUUGACGGGGGCCCGCACAAGCAGUGGAGUAUGUGGUUUAAUUCGACGCAACGCGAAGAACCUUACCAAGUCUUGACAUCCUGCGACGAUGCUGGAAACAGUAUUUUCCUUCGGGACGCAGAGACAGGUGGUGCAUGGUUGUCGUCAGCUCGUGUCGUGAGAUGUUGGGUUAAGUCCCGCAACGAGCGCAACCCUUAUUGCCAGUUACUACGCAAGAGGACUCUGGCGAGACUGCCGUUGACAAAACGGAGGAAGGUGGGGAUGACGUCAAAUCAUCAUGCCCUUUAUGACCUGGGCUACACACGUACUACAAUGGCGUUUAACAAAGAGAAGCAAGACCGCGAGGUGGAGCAAAACUCAAAAACAACGUCUCAGUUCAGAUUGCAGGCUGCAACUCGCCUGCAUGAAGUCGGAAUUGCUAGUAAUCGCGGAUCAGCAUGCCGCGGUGAAUACGUUCCCG
rnacentral:rRNA from 1 species